rnacentral:rRNA from 1 species
AAUCAACGCUGGCGGCGCGCUUAACACAUGCAAGUCGAACGAGAAAGCGGGGGCAACCUCGUGAGUACAGUGGCGUACGGGUGAGUAACACGUGGGUAAUCUACCUCCUGGUGGGGAAUAACCCUGGGAAACCGGGGCUAAUACCGCAUAAGCCCGAGAGGGGAAAGCGGCAACGCGCCGGGAGAGGAGCCCGCGGCCGAUUAGCUAGUUGGUGAGGUAACGGCUCACCAAGGCUGCGAUCGGUAGCCGGCCUGAGAGGGCACACGGCCACACUGGCACUGAAACACGGGCCAGACUCCUACGGGAGGCAGCAGUGGGGAAUCUUGCACAAUGGGGGAAACCCUGAUGCAGCGACGCCGCGUGAGCGAUGAAGCCCUUCGGGGUGUAAAGCUCUGUCCUGUGGGAAGAAGAAUGUGACGGUACCCACAGAGAAACGCCCGGCUAACUACGUG